CCCUUAGAUGUUCUGGGCCGCACGCGCGCUACACUGAAUGGAUCAACGUGUUUUCCCUUCCCGAGAGGGACGGGUAACCCGCUGAACCCCAUUCGUGGUAGGGAUCGGAGCUUGCAAUUGUUCUCCGUGAACCAGGAAUUCCCAGUAAACGCAAGUCAUCAGCUUGCAUUGAUUACGUCCCUGCCCUUUGUACACACCGCCCGUCGCACCUACCGAUUGAAUGGUCCGGUGAAAUCUCGGGACGGCGGCUUGGUCGCUUGCGUCCGACUGCUGAAACUUGAUUAAACCAUAUCAUUUAGAGGAAGGUGAAGUCGUANCA
rnacentral:rRNA from 1 species